rnacentral:rRNA from 1 species
UACAGAGGUCUCAAGCGUUGCUCGGAAUCACUGGGCGUAAAGCGCACGUAGGCGGACUCUUAAGUCAGGGGUGAAAUCCUGGAGCUCAACUCCAGAACUGCCUUUGAUACUGGGAGUCUUGAGUUCGGGAGAGGUGAGUGGAACUGCGAGUGUAGAGGUGAAAUUCGUAGAUAUUCGCAAGAACACCAGUGGCGAAGGCGGCUCACUGGCCCGAUACUGACGCUGAGGUGCGAAAGCGUGGGGAGCAAACAGG